rnacentral:lncRNA from 1 species
CACUUGCUUUUGUCCUGUUGUUAUAUCAGCUGUACUCUGUAUAGUCUUCAGACAAAACUAUUUCUACACGGACUCAGCAACAUUAAAAGAAUGAAGUGGUCGCUCCUCUGUUGGCUGGUCCUGUCUUUGGUUUUUUAUAACAUCACCUGCCACAUAUGUCAAAAUGCAGUUUUAAGGCAGUCUAAAAAACAUGUUUCAAGCAAAAUGGGUAGAAAAGGAGGGCUUUCAAACACCAGAUCGUGUAUGGAAGAAGUAAACAACGUUUUGGAAAAUGGAAACGAUGGUGGCCAUAUCGAAGCCUUGGCGACCCUGGAACAGGUUCUGGAGGAAACAGAGGUGAAUGAGACGACAUCCCUGUCUGUCAGUCAUUUGGUGGCUGUCCUGCACAAACCCAGAGGCCCCUUCACAGGCCUUGAAAUACAUGCUAAUGAGAAUGAGGCACGGUCAGACAAGGCUGUCCCCAACAGCAAAGUGAGUGUUCGACUGCCGAGAGAGUUGGAUGCUGGAUCAAACAACACGGUCAUAUUCUGCAUGCUGACCUGGCCUGAAGCAAACUGGACCCUAUGGGGAGCCUCGGAUGAGUUAUAUGAGAGCAGACUGGUUGGCCUGAGUGUGCGGGGAAAGAAGAUCUCAGGACUACAGGAGCGUGUCAACAUCACAGUCGCUCUUUCUGUAAACGAGAACCAGGUGCCCAGCUGUGUAUUCUUUAACUUUUCAACAAAGGACUUUAGCAAUCAUGGCUGCCUAAGCAUGUGGGAACGUGGUCAGAGCCACAUCACCUGCUCCUGUGACCACCUCACAUACUUCGGCGUGCUCAUGGUGUCGUCUCCGGCCCUCUCAACUACACACCUGAAGAUUCUCACAUACAUCACUCUGAUUGGCUGUAGUCUUUCUCUCUUUGCCCUGGUCAUCACUGUUCUGCUCUUCAUCACUUAUAGGUCAUUUAAUUUCAUCCCUCCUGACCUUCCUCACAUAUCUUCAUCAGCCUCCUUCUGUCUUUCUUCCUUCACUUCUUCAGCUCUUCUUCCUCCCUUGUUUGUUCACGUGGAGGUGACCAGUAUGUGUGUUCCAGUGAUGGAGAGGAAUGGAGGCAACAGUGAAGAGUUUAACAUCCUGGCUGGGGUGUUGCAAGGGGACACCCCAGCCACAGGACACUGCCCCCUUCCUCUUCAUCAUAGUCCUAAAUUAUUCGCUCAGGAAGGCCAUCAGUGGACGGGAGCUAGAACUUGGCCUCACAAUAACACCUAG